ensembl:misc_RNA 7SK 7SK RNA
GGAUGUGAGGGCGAUCUGGCUGCGACAUCUGUCACCCCAUUGAUCGCCAGGGUUGAUUCGGCUGAUGUGGGUGGCUAGGUGGGUGUCCCCUUCCUCCCUCACCGCUCCAUGUGCGUCCCUCCAGAAGCUGCGCACUCAGUCAAAGAGGACUGACGGCCUUCCCAAACAGAGACGGACCGGUCUUAGGUGGAGGGUAUACGAGUAGCUGCGCUCCCCUGCUAGAACCUCCAAACAAGCUCUCAAGAAGUGGAGCAGAAAUCAUGAGGAUAUCACACAUCCAUUU